UGGGAAAGGAGUCCCUCAGCUUCCACCCCAUACAUAGCCUUCAAAAGUGGAAUUCCCAGGAUCAAAGUAUUGGGCAAUGUUGACAGAGAAAGACCAGUGAUUAUCCAAUUCAACCUUCCUCUGGAGCUGAUUUUGGGAUUGUUGCUGGAAAUAACAUGGAAAGAUAAUAGUGGGAUUGAAAAUUUAGCAACAAAUUUGUUUAUGCCUGCACACUGAUCUGGUGUAAAAAGCCUCCACCAUUUCAUAGAGAUGUAGGCCAAUAUCAUGGCAAAAUACAAUGGAACUGUGGCAGCCACCACAUGAUAUACAUCUGCUAAAGAAAUCAUGGGAACUAGAGAUUGAAGUGGUGUAAUAGAGGAAUAAAGAAGUGAAUUGCAAGGGAAGUAAUUGAAGGUUUAUGACAGUGGAUAAUCAUCCAGUGGCCAGCUGUUGAAACCUUUUGAAAUCAAGAUGAGAGAUCUUAUAUAGUUGUAGGGCAUUACAAGUGGAUAGUUGUAACUCUACUGAACAAGACCUUUUAAGAUUGCUUGAUAGUGAAUAUGAUCACAACAUGAAAGGUGAACAUCAAGGGUAACUUGUUCUAACUUUAAACAUGGUACCCUCAUGCUCAUGUAGAGACAUGUAGGCUUAAGAUAGAACAUAUACACAUGAUAUUGAAUUUUAAAAUUAAAGAGAAUUUUUGAGAUUUCUUUUGAUGCAAAA